GGGGACGACUUGGCUUCGACAGGAGUAGGUCGGGAUCCGGUUGCAUGCCGGGCUGAGCAAUCCCGUUACGCGGCUCAACUUGCUUAAACGCAAACAACACAAAUUACCGUCCAGCUUACGCAGUAGCAUAAGUAUAACCCCUCGAAAGAGGCGGACUGCUUCACUCUUCGGUUCUAUCCUAGAAGAGAUUUUGAAGUAUAACCUUCAUGAUAGAUAUAUUUUGCGUCUGUCUCAGCGCAAGAUGAACUUUGGGGCUCGUUCGGCGUAAUUUUGCACAUUGUAUGAAGCCGAAUUAAACUAAACAAUGUUUUUAAGCAUGUAGACGCCGUUUUCUGACUAUUUUUGGACUGGGGUUCGACACCCCACGUCUCCACCA
rnacentral:tmRNA from 1 species